rnacentral:rRNA from 1 species
CGGCAACAGCUCAAAUUUGAAAUCUGGCCCCCUCGGGGUCCGAGUUGUAAUUUGUAGAAGAUGCUUCGGGUGCGGCCCCGGUCUAAGUUCCUUGGAACAGGACGUCACAGAGGGUGAGAAUCCCGUACGUGCCCGGUGGUCGCCCCCGUGUGAAGCUCUUUCGAC